rnacentral:rRNA from 1 species
UACAGAGGGUGCGAGCGUUGUCCGGAAUCACUGGGCGUAAAGGGCGCGUAGGUGGUGGCUUAAGCGUGCGGUGAAAGCUCGGAGCUCAACUCCGAGUCGGCCGUGCGAACUGGGCUCACUGGAGCAUAGUAGAGGCAGGUGGAAUUCCGGGUGUAGCGGUGGAAUGCGUAGAGAUCCGGAAGAACACCGGUGGCGAAGGCGGCCUGCUGGGCUAUGGCUGACACUGAGGCGGGACAGCGUGGGGAGCAAACAGG